AUUAGUAAGGUUUGUCCUUUUUUAACUUUCUUCUUAUUUCCACACAUUUAUACAUGUGCUUUAUUUAAUCCAUCAUACGAUCAUCUUUCAUAAACUGAAAUA